rnacentral:rRNA from 1 species
AGGGCACCACCAGGAGUGGAGCCUGCGGCUUAAUUUGACUCAACACGGGAAAACUCACCCGGCCCGGACACUGGAAGCAUUGACAGAUUGAGAGCUCUUUCUUGAUUCAGUGGGUGGUGGUGCAUGGCCGUUCUUUGUUGGUGGAGUGAUUUGUCUGGUUAAUUCCGAUAACGAACGAGACUCUAGCCUACUAAAUAGAUCGUCGGCUUACAAACGCCGGCGAGACUUCUUAGAGGGACAGGCGGUGAUUCAACCGCACGAAACAGAGCAAUAACAGGUCUGUGAUGCCCUUAGAUGUCCGGGGCCGCACGCGCGCUACACUGAAGUGAUCAGCGUGCUUUUUCAACCUACUCUGUCAAGAGUGGGGAACCCAAUGAACCUUCUUCGUGAUUGGGAUAGGGGAUUGUAAUUAUUCCCCUUGAACGAGGAAUUCCCAGUAAGCGCGAGUCAUAAGCUCGCGUUGAUUACGUCCCUGCCCUUUGUACACACCGCCCGUCGCUACUACCGAUUGAAUGUUUU